rnacentral:rRNA from 1 species
UCGGGGGUAGAUCUAUCUCAUGACGAGUGGUGGAAUACUUUGACUCAUGAGAGAGAAGCUGAGGCGAAGGCGUCUACCUAGAGGGUUUCUGUCGAUCAAGGGCGAGAGUAGGAGUAUCCAACAGGAUUAGAGACCCUGGUAGUUCCUACCUUAAACGAUGCCGACAGGAGUUUGUCAUUUGUUAAUGGCAGAAUCUUUGGAGAAAUCAUAGUUCUUGGGCUCUGGGGGAACUACGACCGCAAGGCUGAAACUUGAAGGAAUUGACGGAAGGGCACACCAGGGGUGGAGCCUGUGGCUUAAUUUGAAUCAACACGGGGAAACUUACCAGGACCAGAUGUUUUUUAUGACUGACAGGCUUCGGGUCUUUCAGGAUAUUGUUUUUGGUGGUGCAUGGCCGUUGGUGGUGCGUGGGUUGACCUGUCUAGCGUUGAUUCAGCUAACGAGCGAGAUUAUCGCCAAUUAUUUACUUUGCCGAAGUCCUUCGGUUAAAGUUCUAAUUGGGACUCCCUGCGAUUUUAGCAGGUGGAAGAGGGUAGCAAUAACAGGUCCGUGAUGCCCUUUAGAUGCUCUGGGCUGCACGCGUGCUACAAUGUUAGGAUCAAUAGGACUGCGAGCCUGAGAGGGUGCGCUACUCUUAUAAUCCCUAACGUAGUUGGGAUUGACGUUUGUAAUCAGCGUCAUGAACCAGGAAUCCCUUGUAAAUGUGUGUCAACAACGCACGUUGAAUACGUCCCUGCCCUUUGUACACACCGCCCGUCGCUCCUACCGAUUGGAUGACUCGGUGAAAUCACCGGAUGCUUACGAGCAGAAAGUGAUUAAAUCACGUUAUCUAGAGGAAGGAGAAGUCGUAACAAGGUAACGGUAGGUGAACCUGCCGUUGGAUC